CCCUUAGAUGUUCUGGGCCGCACGCGCGCUACACUGACAGAGCCAGCGAGUUUUUUACCUUGGCCGGAAGGUCUGGGAAAUCUUGUGAAACUCUGUCGUGCUGGGGAUAGAGCAUUGCAAUUAUUGCUCUUCAACGAGGAAUUCCUAGUAAGCGUGAGUCAUCAGCUCGCGUUGAUUACGUCCCUGCCCUUUGUACACACCGCCCGUCGCUACUACCGAUUGAACGGCUUAGUGAGGUCUUGGGAUUGGCGUCGGGGAGCCGGCAACGGCACCCCUUUGCUGAGAACUUGAUCAAACUUGGUCGUUUAGAGGAAGUAAAAGUCGUAACA
rnacentral:rRNA from 1 species